UGGCGAAAGGGUGAGUAACGCGCGGGCAAUCUGCCUUGAAGUUGGGAAUAGCCCGGGGAAACCUGGGAUAAUUCCGAAUGUGGUCGGUUCAGGCAUCUGAACCUAUCUAAAGCUGGGGACCGCAAGGCCUAGCGCUUCAAGAUGAGCCCACGUCCUAUCAGCUUGUUGGUGAGGUAACGGCUCACCAAGGCUUACGGGUAGCUGGUCUGAGAGGAUGGUCAGCCACACUGGGACUGAGACACUGCCCAGACUCCUACGGGAGGCUGCAGUCGAGAAUCAUUCGCAAUGGGCGCAAGCCUGACGAUGCGACGCCGCGUGCAGGAUGAAGGCCUUCGGGUUGUAAACUGCUGUGAUGGGGGAGCAACGGACGGAGUGUUAAUAACACUUCGUAGUGAUAGUACCCCAAGAGGAAGCCACGGCUAACUCUGUGCCAGCAGCCGCGGUAAUACAGAGGUGGCAAGCGUUGUUCGGAUUUACUGGGCGUAAAGGGUGCGUAGGCGGUCUCAUGUGUCGGAUGUGAAAUCCCACGGAUCAUCUGUGGAACUGCAUUCGAAACUAUGGGGCUUGAGUGUCGGAGAGGAGGGCGGAAUUCACGGUGUAGCGGUGAAAUGCGUUGAUAUCGUGAAGAACGCCGGAGGCGAAGGCGGCCCUCUGGACGACAACUGACGCUGAGGCACGAAAGAUGGGGGAGCAAACAGGAUUAGAUACCCUGGUAGUCCCAUCCGUAAACGGUGUGCACUUGGUGUAGGAGGAAUUAUCCCCUUCUGUGCCGGAGCUAACGCGUUAAGUGCACCGCCUGGGGAGUACGGUCGCAAGAUUAAAACUCAAAGAAAUUGACGGGGGCCCGCACAAGCGGUGGAGCAUGUGGCUUAAUUCGAUGCAACGCGAAGAACCUUACCUGGGCUUGACA
rnacentral:rRNA from 1 species